UGGAGAUGAUUGUGGACUACAGACAAACACUACCCAAAAGAGAAAGAGACUAUAUAUCUUAUUACAAUAACCAAAGUGCAAGAACCUCAGCAAAUUGAUUACUGGCUCGCCCAAGGAGAAAGAUCCCUUCUUUUGUGCUCCUCUUCGUUAUGGAAGGGGCUUGAUCAGGUUUUGGUGUCGUUGGGUUUCGAAUAAUCGUGCUAGCUAGACCAAUCGGAUAGUUGUGUUUUGAGUUGGUGAUCUGCUACAAGUAAAUCAAUCGUACCCGGGUUUAGAAGAUAAAUCAGGAGUGAGGGGGGAUUCAAUCUUCAGCGUCAGAGAUCUUUGGAAUUCUAAUUGGGUGACUGAGUUGGUUUUGGGUAGGCGAAGAACUUGGGUCCAGCAAGAGUUUAAAACAGAACAGUAGCUUCAGUGUCGGGGCUCCGAAGUUUGAAGUGAAGGGGUUUAGGGUAGUUAUGGCUCCAAAGAUGAGGUGGACAAGAAGUAAGAGAUUGUUAGAGGAGUAUGAAGAUGAAAAUCAUAAUGCUGAAAGGGAAGUCCAAGAAAUAUCUAAUGACCAGAAUGUAAUUGGUGGUAUAUCUGAAACUGGAACCGCAGUUUCUGGUAGGGAUGAAGACCAUCAAAUUCAUCCAAGAUCAAGGCGUGAAUGACUGUGAUAAAGAGGACUGAAGGUACAUAGAUUUUCAAAUUGCAAAAGCGUAUGGAAGGGCAAACAGUCCUUAUAGACCUUUAUGGCUGCAUCAAAGCAGUUGUACCACAUCAUGAGGUGUUCGUUAGAAGCAAAAACAAAAUGGAAACAAAAUGUGAAAUCACUUUGGAAAAUCUGAGUAGAGAAGAUGUGAAGAUAACUCUUUGGGGGGAUCCUGCAAGAGAGUUCGAUCUGGAUGCAAUUUACAAUUUGCCUCCACCAGUACUAGCAGUAUUUACUAGCUUGAGGAUUGCUCUAUUUCAACGUAACUAUAAAUUUGAAACAUUUAAUAAAAUUGUUACAAUUACUAUCUAUUUUAUAAUCAUUUUCUCUUCCAAUUUAUAGAACAACCAACUCCAUCGAGCACAAAUCACAGCUGCAUAAUCAUUGAUCCAGACAUUGGCCAAAGAGAAGACUACGAGGAAGAAUUCUCAAAAGCAGGGGAUAAGCGGAAGUUGCUACCAACUCCAUCCAAGCAACCACUCCACCAAGAAGCCAAAGAUCAUGCAAAAAAAAAAAACAGCGUCACGGCUCAAUACCGUUAAUCUGCAUGAAUACCAGGUACAAACAAGAUUUUUUUUUCCUCCAACUUUAUUGUUUUGCUUCAACAUGCUUUAUAAAUGCAGCUAUAUUUUAAGACUGUACACAUUGCAACAACAAGCGCUUUACUGCAAUGCAUGGAUUUGUAGAUUUCCUACAUACAACGGUUGGUGGUACAAAGGUUGCCUGACCUGCCGCAAGGAACUCAAGCAAAAAGAGGAUACUAAUCAGCUCAGCUGUAGUCGUCAUGACGUACAAACGCCUCUCCCAUGUUACAGAGUAUACAUGACAAUUGAGGAUGAUACAAACCAAGCAACAGUUGUGCUCAUGGGAAGACAGGCUGAACAGUUAUUUGGCAGCAAAUGUCAGGACUUGGUCAACAACAGCAUGUAUUCAACCAAACAAACAGUUCCAAAGGAAAUUCAGAGAACAAUUGGUGAAAACUACCUGACCCAGAAGAAGUGAUUGUCAGCAACAUUUUUCCGGCUACGCAAGUUUCCCUGCCAUCAACAGAAGAACCAGGAACUGCAACACCAGAUCGUCCCCUCACCCAAAAAAAAAAGAUCAAUUGAGGCAAGCAAAAGGACAUUAUUCAUUUCUGACCCAGAGAAGAAAAUCGGGAGGGAACCAGAACAAGGAAGCGCCACUUCAUCAUCACUGGAAAAAGAAGAACAUAACAAGGAAAACGAGCAGUAAACAUGCAUCACUCUUUUGUACAUGUGUAACUAACAAGUAGAAGCUGCAUUGACUACAAAUUUUGGUAUAACUGUAGUCAACUAAUCAACUGAAGCAUUUUGUACACUGGAAUAACCAAUUUUUGAAACAGCUUCCAGUAUAACCUUUUGUAAACAAACUUCAGUUGAUUCAGCAGCUAUACCUGAAUCAAUCUUAUGUUUUGAAGAUACAAUGCAGCUGCUGUUUUUGAAGUUGCAAUGCAGCUGCUGUGCUUAACAGUAUCUGUCAGUUACUCCUGCUAGGUUAAUGAAUGACAAAUUUGUAGAACUAGCAUUUUUGUAUUAGGUAUGAUUCAAUGUAAACAAUGUAAAACUAAAUAUAUAUCAAUAAUAUGUUAUAAUCUUUCUUUUCAUUCCAA